UCCCUGGUGGCUCAGGUAAAGCAUCUGUCUACAAUGCAGGAGACCCGGGUUUGAUCCCUGGGUGGGGAA
rnacentral:tRNA from 1 species